rnacentral:rRNA from 1 species
UGUUUCGGCUAGGGGGCCAUCCCGGCUUACCAACCCGAUGCAAACUGCGAAUACCGGAGAAUGUUAUCACGGGAGACACACGGCGGGUGCUAACGUCCGUCGUGAAGAGGGAAACAACCCAGACCGCCAGCUAAGGUCCCAAAGUCAUGGUUAAGUGGGAAACGAUGUGGGAAGGCCCAGACAGCCAGGAUGUUGGCUUAGAAGCAGCCAUCAUUUAAAGAAAGCGUAAUAGCUCACUGGUCGAGUCGGCCUGCGCGGAAGAUGUAACGGGGCUAAACCAUGCACCGAAGCUGCGGCAGCGACGCUGAUGCGUUGUUGGGUAGGGGAGCGUUCUGUAAGCCUGCGAAGGUGGCCUGUGAGGGUUGCUGGAGGUAUCAGAAGUGCGAAUGCUGACAUAAGUAACGAUAAAGCGGGUGAAAAGCCCGCUCGCCGGAAGACCAAGGGUUCCUGUCCAACGUUAAUCGGGGCAGGGUGAGUCGACCCCUAAGGCGAGGCCGAAAGGCGUAGUCGAUGGGAAACGGGUUAAUAUUCCCGUACUUGGUGUUACUGCGAAGGGGGGACGGAGAAGGCUAUGUUGGCCGGGCGACGGUUGUCCCGGUUUAAGCGUGUAGGUGUGUGUUCCAGGUAAAUCCGGUUCACUUUAACACUGAGGCGUGAUGACGAGGCACUACGGUGCUGAAGCAACAAAUGCCCUGCUUCCAGGAAAAGCCUCUAAGCAUCAGGUAACAUCAAAUCGUACCCCAAACCGACACAGGUGGUCAGGUAGAGAAUACCAAGGCGCUUGAGAGAACUCGGGUGAAGGAACUAGGCAAAAUGGUGCCGUAACUUCGGGAGAAGGCACGCUGACACGUAGGUGAAGUGAUUUACUCAUGGAGCUGAAGUCAGUCGAAGAUACCAGCUGGCUGCAACUGUUUAUUAAAAACACAGCACUGUGCAAACACGAAAGUGGACGUAUACGGUGUGACGCCUGCCCGGUGCCGGAAGGUUAAUUGAUGGGGUCAGCGCAAGCGAAGCUCCUGAUCGAAGCCCCGGUAAACGGCGGCCGUAACUAUAACGGUCCUAAGGUAGCGAAAUUCCUUGUCGGGUAAGUUCCGACCUGCACGAAUGGCGUAAUGAUGGCCAGGCUGUCUCCACCCGAGACUCAGUGAAAUUGAACUCGCUGUGAAGAUGCAGUGUACCCGCGGCAAGACGGAAAGACCCCGUGAACCUUUACUAUAGCUUGACACUGAACAUUGAGCCUUGAUGUGUAGGAUAGGUGGGAGGCUUUGAAGUGUGGACGCCAGUCUGCAUGGAGCCGACCUUGAAAUACCACCCUUUAAUGUUU